CGGGACGUGGCGCAGCCUGGUAGCGCACCUGCUUUGGGAGCAGGGGGUCGCCGGUUCAAAUCCGGCCGUCCCGA
rnacentral:tRNA from 1 species